ensembl:snRNA U6 U6 spliceosomal RNA
GCUUCAGCAAAACAUAAAAUUGGAACAAUACAGAGAAAAUUAGCAUGGCUCCUGAGCAAGAAUGACAUGCAAAUUCAUGAAGAAAUUUAUU